UUGCUGUCCAUUGUGAGAGAAAGUCAAUAGAAGUUGCCACCUGUUGCCCUCGAAGAGUACAAUUAUUCAUUAAAAUGGGGCAAAAAAUGUAGCACAAACAUGCUCAUAAAGUGAAUCUUUAAAUUUGGUCAAAUUUUUGGUAUCAAAGAGGCGGAGUAUCCAAUGGCGACAAUAACAUAAGCUUGAAUAAGAGUUCUACAGGUCUAAUUGGGUGGUAAGACAAUGUUCGAGUACCAAGUUACGAUGGUUAAAAACAUGUAAAUAUACCGGAUGGAUUCAGUUGAUAGAUCAAGUAGCAAGCGUUGAUAUAAAUCCAAGUAAAGGGUUCGAUCAUCACUUCGAUCAACUAGACCGAGUCGUGAAAGUUUAAAGACGUGCCCCCCUGCUAUUUUUACCAGCCGGUCACUUCAUGCCGUCGUAAAUUCAACACGCAAGAAAAAGGGUAAAAUCCCAUAACUUUUUUUAGAAAAUUGACGGUAUUUGAUCGAAUUUUCAUACACACACAACUAGAGAAAAAAGUGUGAGAAUCCCAUAAAUUAUUGUGAAAAAAUGAGGGGAAUUGGUCGGAUAAAUGCUCUCCCGGACGAGUUAAUUCUGAAAAUUUUCCUGCACCUGGAUUCGAAGAUGAGCUGGGACGCCUUU
rnacentral:lncRNA from 1 species